rnacentral:rRNA from 1 species
CGCAUCGGUAGGGGAGCGUUCUGUUGUAGGUCGAAGUAUUAGCGUAAGCGGAUAUGGACGAAGCAGAAGUGAGAAUGUCGGCUUGAGUAACGAAAAUAUAGGUGGGAAUCCUAUACCCCGAAAACCCAAGGUUUCCUCCGGAAGGCUCGUCCGCGGAGGGUAAGUCAGGACCUAAGGCGAGGCUGAAAAGCGUAGUCGAUGGACAACUGGUUAAUAUUCCAGUACCAUUUUUUACUGAUAUCGAGGGACGGAGAAGGCUAAGCUAGCCGGAUAUUGGUUACCGGUUUAAGCGUUCAAGGUGUUGAGAAACGGAGAAAACGUUUUGAGCUGAGACGUGAAUACGAGACGCUACGGCGUCGAAGUAGUGUAUGUCAUACUUCCAAGAAAAGCUCGCACUGUCAUAGGUAAAAAAUGCCUGUACCAUAACCGACACAGGUGGGUAGGUAGAGUAUACUAAGGGGCGCGAGAUAACUCUCUCUAAGGAACUCGGCAAAAUGACUCCGUAACUUCGGGAGAAGGAGUGCCUUAUUUAUAAGGUUGCAAUAACAAGAUCCAAGCAACUGUUUACCAAAAACACAGGUCUCCGCUAAGUCGUAAGACGAUGUAUGGGGGCUGACGCCUGCCCAGUGCCAGAAGGUUAAAGAAGUUGGUUAGCAUUAGCGAAGCUGAUAACUGAAGCCCUGGUGAACGGCGGCCGUAACAAUAACGGUCCUAAGGUAGCGAAAUUCCUUGUCGGGUAAGUUCCGACCCGCACGAAAGGCGUAAUGAUUUGGAUACUGUCUCGGAGAGAGGCUCGGUGAAAUAGACUUGUCUGUGAAGAUGCGGACUACCUGCACCUGGACAGAAAGACCCUAUGAAGCUUUACUGUAACUUGAAAUUGAAAUUGGACUUUAGUCGCGCAGCAUAGGUGGGAGGCGUUGAGCAUGUUCUUGCGGGAACAUAGGAGCCAUCAGUGAGAUACCACUCUUCUAAUGUUAGAUUUCUAACCUUGUACCAUUAUCUGGUCAAGGAACAGUUUCAGGCGGGCAGUUUGACUGGGGCGGUCGCCUCCCAAAUGGUAACGGAGGCGUACAAAGGUUUCCUCUGAACGGAUAGAAAUCGUAUCUAGAGUAUAAAGGCAUAAGGAAGCUUGACUGUGAGACCUACAAGUCGAGCAGGGACGAAAGUCGGUCUUAGUGAUCUGACGGUACUGAGUGGAAAGGCCGUCACUCAACGGAUAAAAGUUACUCUAGGGAUAACAGGCUGAUCUCCCCCAAGAGUUCACAUCGACGGGGAGGUUUGGCACCUCGAUGUCGGCUCAUCGCAUCCUGGGGCGGUAGUACGUCCCAAGGGUUGGGCUGUUCGCCCAUGAAAGCGGUACGCGAGCUGGGUUCAGAACGUCGUGAGACAGUUCGGUCCAUAUCCGGUGUAGGCGUUAGAAUAUUGAGAGGAGCCUUCUUUAGUACGAGAGGACCGAGAAGGACAUACCUCUGGUGUACCAGUUAUCGUGCCAACGGUAAACGCUGGGUAGCUAUGUAUGGAGUGGAUAACCGCUGAAAGCAUCUAAGUGGGAAGCCCACCUCAAGAUGAG